GACGAACGCUGGCGGCGUGCUUAACACAUGCAAGUCGAACGGAAAGGCCCUGCUUUUGUGGGGUGCUCGAGUGGCGAACGGGUGAGUAACACGUGAGUAACCUGCCCUUGACUUUGGGAUAACUUCAGGAAACUGGGGCUAAUACCGGAUAGGAGCUCCUGCUGCAUGGUGGGGGUUGGAAAGUUUCGGCGGUUGGGGAUGGACUCGCGGCUUAUCAGCUUGUUGGUGGGGUAGUGGCUUACCAAGGCUUUGACGGGUAGCCGGCCUGAGAGGGUGACCGGCCACAUUGGGACUGAGAUACGGCCCAGACUCCUACGGGAGGCAGCAGUGGGGAAUAUUGCACAAUGGGCGGAAGCCUGAUGCAGCAACGCCGCGUGCGGGAUGACGGCCUUCGGGUGGUAAACCGCUUUCACCUGUGACGAAGCGUGAGUGACGGUAAUGGGUAAAGAAGCACCGGCUAACUACGUG
rnacentral:rRNA from 1 species